ACGUUCGACACCUACGGGGGCAGCAGUGGGGAAUAUUGCACAAUGGGGGAAACCCUGAUGCAGCGACGCCGCGUGAGCGAAGAAGUAUUUCGGUAUGUAAAGCUCUAUCAGCAGGGAAGAAACUGACGGUACCUGACUAAGAAGCACCGGCUAAAUACGUGCUAGCAGCCGCGGUAAUCUGAGCGGGCUGGCAAGGC
rnacentral:rRNA from 1 species